rnacentral:misc_RNA from 1 species
GAAAAAAUGAAAGGACUGGGAAUGUAUAUGUGCUUUUUUAUGAGCGCUUGUGCAUCCGUUCAUGUCUUGGAACUUUUUUGUGCACUGUGAUGUCUCUGGCGGCUGGGUGAGAUGGGGAGAUUCAAUCUUCUAGGAGACUGCAGCUUGCCAGUCUUGCCUGUCAGUUCUUGAUAAGGGCCGUGGUAUUCACGCUCUUGAGAACCGUGGACAAACCGCCAAAUGAUCUCUGCGUAGACAAGAAACACGAUAGAUUAUUUGUAUUAUUCUGAGAUUUACUUUGUUGUUGUGAAUGGCAAAUUGCAAAA